rnacentral:lncRNA from 1 species
AAAAAAGAAAGAAAGAAAGAAAGAAAGAAAGAAAGAAAGAAAAGGUAUAUGGCAGCUGAGGGAACCUAGCCAUUAGUCUUUUAUUCCACUGUGGAAUUUCAUUUAUUUUGUUCCCUUGUAGCUGAUGAGUUUUAAGCACCUAAAACAAGGUACCUUUCCUUCCCACCCCCAAACUGAAGACUUUCUUAGAAGCAGGGCAUGCACAAGAAAUUCCUGACGUUACUACCUUCCUAUCUUCACAGUUUAAAAGAAUAAAGGAAAUGGCUGCCGAAGAGGUGGCCUAAAUCCUAGCAUGGCCUGCCCACAGGCAAGCUGUGACUGAUGCUGCGGCAGGUUUACAGUCUCCCUCUGUGACUUGUGGCACAUUCUAGCCCUGUGGCUGAGUCUCAUGCCAGGAUGGCUCAGCUCCAAGGCAAAGCCCCAUAGUGUUCAUUGAAGUCUCUCACCCACUUUGCUUUCUGGGAUGGGCAUGGAUGGUGGCAGUUCUUUCCCACCUAAUAGGAAAAAGCGACUGCCAAGACAGAAUGUUUCAAUUCCAAGGAAUACAACGUUACAACGUAAUAUUCAGUGUGCCAACUCAAUCCCACUGGAAGACACUCUUAAUCUAAUGCCAUACUUCCAUGAAUUUCCCAAGAAGGGUAGAUGUCAUCAAAAUCAUAUGCAAAUUCGAGGAAGUUGACUCAGCACCCUGUGUGCAGCACAUGAACUUCUGCAUUGGAGUCCACAGCACUCGCUUGGCGCGGAGAGCUAUCUGUAAUCCCAGCACUGGGCUAUGGAAUUGGACACGGGAGGAAUCCUGGAGCUCAGCCUAGCUGAAUCAGAUAGAGACCCAAGACUCCACAACUCAAAAUAAUAAUAAGAAAAAUAAUAAUAAGGUGGAGCUGAUUGAGGAAGAAACCCACACAAAUGUACAUAUGUUAGUGACUAAGCAAAGCAGGUACUUUCAAAAACAGACUCCCUGUUAUGUAUUAAAUGUAUUAAUACAUAAAUACAUACUAUUAAUGUAUUAAAGCUUCCCUUUAUUUUCUGCUAAAGCCUUAUGGUGCAAGCCCACAGGCAUUUCUGUUCAUCUCUGGAAUCUCUGAUAUAUGCUCUGAGACUUUUG